CACAACAGGCCUAUCUAUGUAUGAUAGGCCUAUCUUGUCUCAGCCACCCAUACACUUUAUGUUCUUGUCUUGAUGAUUUUAGGUUUUAUUGUUUUUGUACCCUGAACAAGAAAUUACAAAACAAACCAACUCCGUGUUCACACAUGACAAACUCGGUUCACUGCAGCAUAGAUCCAACGCACCCUUUCACCUUUGCAUGGCCGAGCCAUAUGAGCUCCAGACGCCCUGCUAGCAUCGCGGUCCUGCUGCAAGCUACAUUGCAUCUAUCUUGUCAGCCGCACGGGUGCACUUGAAACCGAAACACCUGCUUGGACCUCACUCUUCCCUUCCUGAUGAAAUGCGAAAGAUCGGCUGAUUUACUUCAAGGCUACCGGCAGCAUGGGCACUGCAGUUUAUUUUGAGAUGAACCCAAAAACACCAUCCUCCCGUUGCUGUUAAUACUUAAAGGCAGUGGAUGUCUCACGUAAGCGGUUCCAUGCGGGCUUGCAGCUGCUGGUGGACUGAAGUUACAGCUUGAAAGAGUCAUGGCAUGCAGGAGAAGCUACAGCAAACGUCUCUAUUGUUCAAAGAAGAGGCCUUGUUUGUGGCGUACAGUAUUUAGUUGUACAAAGAGAGGCUUCUUGUACAUAGUUUGAUUUGAGUCUGUCAAAUUCACCUGAGGUGAAGGACUUCCAGCAGCCUUCUGUCUCCAGACACUGAAGGAUGUGUAACACCAGCACUUGAAAGCAUUCUCAAAUUUCCAGCUCCAAAGCCAAAUUGUCGAUUUAUUUCUCAAAUGGGGUUGUAGGAUCAGUCUUAUAAAAUGUCAUACAGUACUGCUGUUGGUUAAAUUCUCGUAAUUUAUGCUAAACUAUGUCAAUAAAUCAAGAAUUCUUUUUUGUUUUUCCA